AUGGCGUUCAGCGAGGCGCAGGAGGAGCUGGUCCUGCGCUCAUGGAAAGCCAUGAAGCCGGACUCCGAAUCCAUCGCUCUCAAGUUCUUCCUCAGGAUCUUCGAGAUCGCGCCGGCGGCCAAGCCGAUGUUCCCGUUCCUGCGCGACGCCGGCGAGGACGCGCCCCUCCAGAGCCACCCGAAGCUCAAGGCGCACGCCGUGACCGUCUUCGUCAUGGCCUGCGAGUCGGCCACGCAGCUGCGCAAGACCGGCGACGUCAAGGUGAGGGAGGCCACGCUCCGGCGUCUCGGCGCUACCCACGUCAGGGCCGGCGUCGCCGACGCGCACUUCGAGGUGGUGAAGACGGCGCUCCUGGACACCAUCCAGGGCGCCGUCCCGGAGAUGUGGACGCUGGAGAUGAAGGCGGCCUGGGAGGAGGCCUACGACCAGCUCGCCGCUGCCAUCAAGGAGGAGAUGAAGCUCGCUGCGGCGGCUUGA
rnacentral:rRNA from 1 species